rnacentral:rRNA from 1 species
AUGGCUAACAGCAGCUCGACCUCACCGGAGAUCACGUCGAGAUGUGUCACGGUCAGGGAGCACACCGGUACGCUCAAUUUGGAGGUGACCGAUUAUCUGGGGCUCGUUGGCAUCGGUGUCGGCGAGCCCCUUACUUCGUCCGUCCUCGAAGUCGGCGGCUACAAGUGGAUGAUCAGCUUCUACCCAGACGGAGUCGAGAACUUUCAUGGCCACGCUGCAGCGUUUGUGCACUGUUACUUUGACAGCAAAGACGCGGAUGUGACCGCCAAGUUCACGCUGAGCAUCCUAGAGAAAAGGAGCCAGGUAAACGUAGCCAGCUUCGAUUCGAUGAAGCGCGUCUUCUCUCCGCGCGAUUACAAGACAUGGGGCCAUCACGGAUUCGUGGACAAGGCCAAGCUGGGAUGGCUGUCGCAACUGGGGGACGGCUGCUUCACGGUACGGUGUGUCCUCACCGUCGUCACGGACACGGACGAGUCACCGCCUCUGCAGCUGCCCACAGUGCCCAGCCUACUCUCCAGCCAACUCGAGAGCAUGCUCGAGGACGGGAGAGGCGCCGACGUCACGUUCCUCGUGGGUAGCCAGGAGUUCCGCGGGCACAGGUCCUUUCUGGCCGCGCGGUCGCCGGUCUUCGGAGCUCAGUUCUAUGGCCCCAUGGCGGAGAAGGACGACAUGCCGCGCGUCAAGGUCAUCGACGUUGAGCCGGACAUCUUCCAGAUGAUGCUUCACUACAUCUACAAAGACUCGCUGCCGCUGCCACCCGCCGACGACGAAGGAGGCUACAGCGUCGCGGCGAUGCAGCACCUGAUGGUCGCGGCAGACAUGUAUGGGCUGGAGAGGCUGAAGCUCAUGUGUGAAGAUGAGCUGUGCAAAAUUAUGGAUGCAUCGACCGUUAUGAGCACGUACGCGCUCGCGAAUCAGCACCACUGUAAUCGACUCAAGGAUGCGUGCGUGGAAUUUAUGUCGUCCAAAGAAGUGUUGGCCGCCAUCCUCGAGACCAAUGAGCACUUCAUGACACGUUGCCGACCACUGCCACUGGAGGGGAAUCAUGAAGAGGAAGAAGUUGACCACAGCAGGAAAUUCAAAAGGACUCGAUGCACUGCCCCGUUCUUUGGGGCUCCGCCGGUCAUGGCAACUGGGAACCUGCCCAUGGUGAUGCUUGUGCAGCCAUUCCAGGCCAUUCAUCCAAUCAUGGUCUUCGUGAUGGCAGACCGGGUCGGUACGGAUCGAUCCGGCAAGUCCGUGUGCAGAAAGCGUACGCGCGUGAAGACGGCCCAAGGGCUGCCGUGGCUCGAACGCUUGGAACAUGUGGACAGGUUAUGGAGGCACGCGGUCAAGCGCGUCAUGAGGAUCAUGUUUAACAGGGCGUCUGAACAAACCAGACGGCCCAGCAGGCGGGCGCAAACGGACUUUUGUCCGUUUUCUGUCCGCUUUCGACCCAUCCCCGGCUCAAGUUUGGGCCGCUUUUGGGAUGAAACGGACAGCACGCGGACGGGCGGGACGAGCGCGCUUGUCCUCCUUUGGCCCGCCCGUCGGUGGCACAAAGCACCACCCCCGCGCCCCAUUUCGCGCCAUUUCCCCCCAAACCCUCCCACGUCCCGCCCACCACCCUCCCCCGUCCAUGGCCGACGCCCCGCCGAAUUCCGGCGGCCUGGCCGUCGACCCGCCCGGAAAGGUGAAGAAGAAAGCGGCCAAGGGUCCAAGGAAGAUGCGGCCGGAAUGCACGCCGGAGGAGCUCGCAAAGCUGGACGCGGAAUCGGCGAAGAGGAGGAACCGGAGGGCGGUCGUCAAGGGCAAGAACGCCGCAGCCAAGUUCUCCGCCGAGUGCGAUGCGGUGGAGGCCGUGCGGCGCAAGGCCGAGGUCGACGAGAAGGAGGACAUCGUCAACCAAGCGACACUCUCUUCAUGCUUGGGCUUUGCCGUCCGACGGGUUUCUCUGGAGCUGCCGUCGGCCCGACGAGCACCGGCUCGUUGGUCGCCAGGCCUCAGCACUACCCCUCGCCAACGUCGCGGACCACGCCUUUGUCGCCCGGUUUUCCCCCGCCAAGACACGAUGGCCAGACCCGUUUUUCGGGGUCGCUGGACAUUGGCGUGAUCGCGCCAUCCACCCCGCGCCCCUCGGCCGUCAUCGACCUCGAUGUCACGCCGGGGUCCAGCAGCGGCGGCCGGCCGUCCGUCGAGAUGCAAAGAAAGCAAGCACGGCCGACGUCUACGAGCACCAUGCCAUCGCCCCGCGUCCUAUUCGACGAAAUGCCAACACCAACGCCAACAGUCGACGACCCCUUCUACAGCCAGUUCAUGGAGAAUGUGAUUUACGAGGGCGGGCGUGACGCUGCCUACGAUCCCGAGGAGACCCAAAGUCAGGAUGGCCACGCCCAGUAUGUUGCCGAUGAAGACAAUGAGGCCCACGACCAUGCUGACUACGACCAUGGUGACUCGUGGCAUGAAGAUGAUGACAUCUAUUGCGAAGGUGAUGAUGAUGAAGAAGAAGGCGUUGAUAUUGGGGUCGAGCCAUUGUUCAUCGACGAGCUCACCCAAAGAGCGGAAGCACAAAAAAGGAAGAAGAACAUUCGUAUGGGUUCAUGCUCACAAGAAGAGGACAAGUUGAUUUGCCAAUGUUGGAUGGAGAUUAGUCAAGAUUCGAGGAACGAUCGAAGACGUGCACGAGAUCAAUCAGGUGCAAGGAUCAAGUCAUGUGGGCCGACAAGGAUACAAGAAUUUUCGCAGCAUAAUGUGUGCCUGGCGAGCGGCCAAAUCGCCGAGUCAAGGUUGCCAAAAAUUUGCGCUGCAGUAUCAACCUGUACGGUGGCCGUAUCCGACUGUUAUUGUAUUUCCCCUGGUCCAGUAAUCAAGUCCCGAGGCUGUGAGAUGCUUAAUUGGCCAAGGUACCACGUUUGUAUUGUUGCUCUCCACCUCAUCCCAAAAAGAAAUCAGCAAUCAACAGCAAAAGUAGAGAGCCACGGCUGGCAACGUCUCCUGCAUGCAAGGACAGAAGCGCAUACACUGUUUAAAAGGAAAAAAAAGGUUACCAAGGGGCCACGACCCAUAAACAAAGAGGGCAGCGACUCGGACUCCUCCGCGGACUGUGCCUCGCCUCUGCCCAGAAUCCGGGCUGUUUGCUGCUUCUGCCCGGAGCGGCCGGUGCGCCUCUGCCGCGUCACCCAUCUACGAGCCGCCACGCCACUUUGUCAAGCCGACCGCGCUUCUGCACCAAGCCGCCGUCUCCUCUACGGUGCUUGA